rnacentral:rRNA from 1 species
GGCCUAACACAUGCAAGUCGAACGCCCCGCAAGGGGAGUGGCAGACGGGUGAGUAACGCGUGGGAAUCUACCUUUUGGUUCGGAAUAACUCCGGGAAACUGGAGCUAAUACCGGAUGGUUCCUUCGGGAUAAAGAUUUAUCGCCAAAAGAUGAGUCCGCGUACGAUUAGCUAGUUGGUGAGGUAAUGGCUCACCAAGGCGACGAUCGUUAGCUGGUCUGAGAGGACGAUCAGCCACACUGGGACUGAGACACGGCCCAGACUCCUACGGGAGGCAGCAGUGGGGAAUAUUGGACAAUGGGGGAAACCCUGAUCUAGCCAUGCCGCGUGAGUGAUGAAGGCCUUAGGGUUGUAAAGCUCUUUCAGCUGGGAAGAUAAUGACGGUACCAGCAGAAGAAGCCCCGGCUAACUCCGUGCCAGCAGCCGCGGUAAUACGGAGGGGGCUAGCGUUG